CCACUGACGUACAGGAACAGAGGGGGUUGAGGGCCCUGCUCGAUGAGCUUACAUGCUAGAGGGAGUGGGGUAUAGUGACACAAAGGGUUAAAGUAGGGGAAUUAAAUAGUUUGUUACAGAAGGGUUUAUUGAGCACUUGGUAGGUCAUUUUUGACAGGUGAAGGAACGGAGUCAUGGGGUGGGGGAUGAGAAACCUGCUGACCGUUUAAUUGAUACGCUUUAAUAAAGAAGUGAGUUUUCAAAGAUUUUUUGAAGGAAUGGAGGCUGGGUGAAAGUCUGAUUGAGGAGGGAAGGGAGUUCCACAGAAUAGGUGCAGCCCUGGAGAAGUCUUGAAGGCGAGCAUCAGAGGUGG